UAGGGAAUCUUCCACAAUGGACGAAAGUCUGAUGGAGCAACGCCGCGUGAGUGAAGAAGGUUUUCGGAUCGUAAAACUCUGUUGUAAGGGAAGAACACGUACGAGAGUAACUGCUCGUACCUUGACGGUACCUUAUUAGAAAGCCACGGCUAACUACGUGCCAGCAGCCGCGGUAAUACGUAGGUGGCAAGCGUUGUCCGGAAUUAUUGGGCGUAAAGCGCGCGCAGGCGGUUCUUUAAGUCUGAUGUGAAAGCCCACGGCUCAACCGUGGAGGGUCAUUGGAAACUGGAGAACUUGAGUACAGAAGAGGAAAGCGGAAUUCCACGUGUAGCGGUGAAAUGCGUAGAGAUGUGGAGGAACACCAGUGGCGAAGGCGGCUUUCUGGUCUGUAACCGACGCUGAGGCGCGAAAGCGUGGGGAGCAAACAGGAUUAGAUACCCUGGUAGUCCACGCCGUAAACGAUGAGUGCUAAGUGUUAGGGGGUUUCCGCCCCGUUAGUGCUGCAGCUAACG
rnacentral:rRNA from 1 species